UCGUUCUCCUCCGACGAUCGCUCCCCAAGGAUUUCGUACCCUCGUCCUUCGAUACCAUGCAGUAUUUCCUGUUCAAGAAUCCCGUGGUUUGGAGAUGUGCAAUGGCGUGGAGCUUUACAUAACUCAGUGAGCCAUGAUCGACCAAGCAAAGAGGAAGAGAUUGGAAGGUGAAAACUUUUGGUCCGUAUCGUUCUCUAAUUAUCUUCGUUUCUUUCCUGGCAUACAUUGCCGGUAUGUGAUUUAGAUUAGGAAUUGUAGGAGGCUCUGCUUUGAAUCCGCCAUUAAAGAUUCGUUACUGAUCCUCGUUCUUUUUUCUUUUCUUUGUUCGUCUGAGGGAGUUCUUGAUGCUUAUUCCUAAGAUCUUGCCAGCAUUGGUCUCAGAUGAAGCGAUAUGCCCUAAUAAUCCCACAUCGAGAUGGGUAUGAGGCGUGUAUCACCUCUACGGCCAUUGAGCAUGUGAUGAAGAGUGGAUUCAAGAAGCUUAAUGAGGGUGUCCUGGAUGAUGAACAAAAAGCACCAGAUCAAGAUUAGGACCCUUCUCCUCCCAAGAAGCUUAGCAGAUCAUGGCUACAUUGAACUGUAGAUCGCAGAUAGUGGUCAAGAAGCGAGAAAGGAAUUGCUGGGUAGUAAGGAGAAGCGUUCUGAAAUGUUUUGUCUCCUUAUGUUCUCUAACUAUCCCUUUUUCUCAUUCCACGCAUACAGUUUAAUUGUUAUGUGUUCGUAAAUUAAGAACUGUGAGAGGCUCUGUUCUGAAAUCUACAUCAGAGCACUGGUCUCAGAUGAAGUGUGCUAUGCUCUAACGUACCCAUGUCGAGAUUGAGAGUACGAAGGGAACAUCUUAGAUGGAAGAAGUAGGACAUUGGCAACAUCAUCGCAAUGCUACUCCCAGUUUAGUUGUGAAGAAAAGCGUUUGGUCGUUGUUUUUGGCAACAACAUCGCAAUGCUACUCCCAGUUUAGUUGUGAAGAAAAGGGUUUGACUUUUGAAUGGGGCCCAUGGGUUGGGAUGUACCAAAGCAAGGAAAUGGUAACCAAAUGGCACGAGGUAUAUUGAUGGGCAGAGAUGGUAGUAUUGCAUGGGAUCGAGGGAUGGGAUGAUGUGGUGCAUGAGACUUCAACAAUGCACCGAGUAUAUGGAUCUUUUACGCUCCUUGUCCUAGUCGAAUUCGGCAAUAGAUUGAUGACGCAUGAUGACUUAUGCUGGAGAUAACCCCCAGACCCCAGUCCUAGUUGAACUCGGCAAAUGAUAUUAAGUCGAAGUCCGCGGGAAUGUCCGUCACACCGCCGACUCCUAGCCACUAUUUUAGUUUAAACUCAGGAGCGAAGCACUUUGACGCCGAAUUCUACAGAUGGCAUCGAAGUCGGGGCGGAAAAGUCCCGCCAAUUGCAUUUCAUCGCCAUGACGUCAUCCACCAUAACGGUCGACUGCACCAGAUCAAGGCUAUGAAUAGGAGCCCACCCUUCGACUCCCGAGAGCCUCGUUCCCCUCCGGCGAUGGCUCCCCGAAGAUUUCGUACCCUAGUCCUUUGAUACCAUGCAUUAUCCCCUGUUCAAGAAUCCGUGGGUUGGAGAUGUGCAAUGGCGUCGAGCUUCAGAUGCCGAGGUCCAACGUUGCUGCUCGGAUUCGGCCAAUCGGUUCUUGGCUAAACCGAAGGCCUCCACAGUUGCGGCUGUGGCCGCCUCCUCGCCUCUGAGAUCGUGGUGGAGAUUGUGGAUUCAAGAGGCCAAACGAGAGCAUCAUCGAGCAUUGAGCGGAAGCACCGGAUCGAGCUCUAGAUCCUCGUUCCCGGCAUAGCUUGGCCGAUCAUGGCUACACUGAGUCAGGGAUUGCCGAUAGCGUCCAAGCAAAGAGAAGAGAUUGGAAGCCUGAGGGAGUUCUUGAUGCUUACUGCUAAGAUCUUGCCAGCAUUGGUCUCAGAUGAAGUGCAAUAUGCCCUAAUAAUCCCACAUCGAGAUUGAGGGUGUGAGGGUGAGAUCUUAGUUAGAUAUAAUAUUAAAGAUCUUAGAUGUAAUAUUAAUGUUAACUGAAUACCUCGCUAUUCUGAAUCUAAAAAUGAUACUAUGAUAUGCUUGAUAUAUGAGCGUAUCACCUCCACGGCCUUUUAGCAUGUGAUGAAGAGUGGAUUCAAGAAGCUUAAUGAGGGUGUACUGGACGAUGAACAAAGCACCAGAUCAAGAUUAGGACGCUUCUCCUCCAAAAAAGCUUAGCAGAUCAUGACUACACCGAACUGUAGAUUGCUGAUAGUGGUCAAGAAGUGAGAAAGGAAGGAAUUGCUGGGUAGUAAGGAGAAGCGUUCUGAAAGGAACUGUGAGAGGCUCUGCUCUGAAUUCUACAUCAGAGAUGAAGUGUGCUAUGCUCGAAUGAACCCGUGUCGAGAUUGAGAGUGAAGGGAAUAUCUUAGGUAUAAUUUAAAUCAUAUUAGGUAUAAUACUUAAUCUAACUAAAUACGUUCUUACGAUCUGUCUUCUAAAAUGAUAUGAUGAUAAAAAUUGCUAUCACUGUAUGAUCAUUAGUAAGAAAUAUGUAGCAGUAUACAAAAUCUCCCACUUGUAUAACCGUCAGAUGGAAAAAGUAGGACAUUGGCAAGAACAUCGCAAUGCUACUCCCAGUUGGGUUGUGAAGAAAAGAGGCUGGUCGCUCUUAGUGCAGACUUUUGAAUGGGGCCCAUGGGUUGGGAUGUGCCAAGGCAAGGAAAUGACAAUCUAAUGGCACGAGCUUUUGUUGGACGCAUGUUUAAUUUAUGAGAUAGAAUGCUAUUAUCAUUGCAAAACAACACGAUGUCGGAGGCUUCAAGACUUAAGUAGGGGUGGAUAGUUGUAAAACUUGGUAAGUAAAUUGGGUGACGAUGAGGAGAAGAGCUUCUGAAACUUUUUGGUUCGUAUUAUCCUUUGACUGUUUUGUUUGCAUUUUAGCCAUACUUACCUUCUUGUGUUUUUGUAUUAGGAAUUCUGGAAGGCUCUGAUCUGAAUCCACUGUAAAAGUUUUUUUUCCUGAUUCUUUUAUUUAUUCUUUUUCUUUCUUUUUUGUUCUUUUGAGGGAUUUCUUGGUGCUCGUUAUUAAGAUUUUGCUGCAGGCAUUGGUCUUGGAUGAGGUGUGUUAUGCCCUAAUAAUCUCACAGCGAGUGUGUGCGAAGGAAACAUCUUUGAAAAUGUGGGAUAUUGGUGUGAGCAACCUGAUCCUAUUCACAGGAAAUGGCUUGAUCACUCGUUUUAUGCACAAACUUUUGAUGGCCGAUGCAUUGGAGUGUGACAAAGCAAUCCAAUGGCAUGAGCUUGAAGAAUAACCUUACUGAAAGUCGGAAAAGAACUAAUGUGCAAAUGAAGACUUUAUAGUUUUAUCUUAUCGAAAAUUCAAAAGCAUCAAUGCCCAGAUGAAGGGUGAUAAUAAAGAACAGGAGAUCUUUGGUCGACAACACCAAAUGGGAGGAGCCUGGAAAAUGUUGCCCGUCAAAAGUUGUAAAACUUUGUAAGUUGGUUCAUAAGUCAAGCAAGUUCGAAAUAAAUUGACUAAACUGGACUGAAUUUAGUAAUUAAGAAAAUUAAUAUAUAACAUCAUAGGGAUUUAGCAAUGUUCUGUUGAGUCAAACACAGGUUAGAGAGUGACAUCUUUAAACUGGCUAGAGCUUACAGAAUUAAUAUUCGGAUAAAGUUGUUUUAAAAAUCAAUAGCAUCAAUGCUUAAAAACUUUUACCCUGUUUGAAACUAGAGUUUCUAUUUCCUGGGUUCUAGAAAUUUUUGCUUUCUAUCAUACAAAAAGCUCUAAAUAACUUUUUUUGGGAAAUAAAUGACUAGUUCACAAUCAAAUGGUAUUACAGUCCAUUUUAAAUAAACCUUUCAAUAUCUUCUUUUUUUUUUUUUUAAGUGACAUUCUACCGACUUUUGGUUCUCUUGAUUAUGCUAAAUUUAUUAAUUAAAUUCAACACUUUAUAUUCAGCAGGAAUUUUGUUAAAUUCAACUGUUUUGAAUAAUUUUCCAGCUGAUGAGAUUAUGAAUUUGGUUGAUUUGAAUCAAAUAGCUAAAGGGGAUCAUAUUUUAAUUAGUAACCACUUCAAA